rnacentral:rRNA from 1 species
CCUACGGGAGGCAGCAGUGAGGAAUAUUGGUCAAUGGACGAGAGUCUGAACCAGCCAAGUAGCGUGAAGGAUGACUGCCCUAUGGGUUGUAAACUUCUUUUAUAUGGGAAUAAAACGUUCCACGUGUGGGAUUUUGUAUGUACCAUAUGAAUAAGGAUCGGCUAACUCCGUGCCAGCAGCCGCGGUAAUACGGAGGAUCCGAGCGUUAUCCGGAUUUAUUGGGUUUAAAGGGAGCGUAGGUGGUUUGUUGAGUCAGUUGUGAAAGUUUGCGGCUCAACCGUAAAAUUGCAGUUGAAACUGGCAGGCUUGAGUACAGUAGAGGUGGGCAGAAUUCGUGGUGUAGCGGUGAAAUGCUUAGAGAUCACGAAGAACUCCGAUUGCGAAGGCAGUUCACUGGACAACGACUGACACUGAGGCGCGAAAGUGUGGGUAUCAAACAGGAUUAGAUACCCUUGUAGUC